rnacentral:rRNA from 1 species
GGCUCCGCAAAACAGUUGUGACCUAUCGUUGAGUGAUCUCCUAUACGGAUAUCCUCGGUAAUUCUGAGGCUAAUACGUGCGAACUAACCCUGAUAGGCGCAAGUCUAGAGGGGUCGCCGAGCGCUCUUUAUCCAAACCGGCUUACGGUAUGAAUACGGGCUCGGCACGACCGUGCAAACGGCGUCUAACGCUAAGCUUCUGACCUAUCAACUCACGAUGCAGGCUUAAUGCGCACGCAUGGUAACAACGGGUACAGAGGAUAAGGGUUCGAU